UACGUAGGUGACCAGCGUUGUCCGGAUUUACUGGGCGUAAAGAGCGCGCAGGCGGUCGUUCAAGUCGAGUGUGAAAGCCCCCGGCUCAACUGGGGAGGGUCAUUCGAUACUGAUCGACUUGAAGGCAGGAGAGGGAAGUGGAAUUCCCGGUGUAGUGGUGAAAUGCGUAGAUAUCGGGAGGAACACCAGUGGCGAAGGCGGACUUCCUGGCCUGUUCUUGACGCUGAGGCGGCGAAAGCUAGGGGAGCAAACGGG
rnacentral:rRNA from 1 species